AAGAAAAUACUUUUAUCCUGAAGAGUUUAAUGAUUUUUUGAGUGAUCUUAAUAGCAAUUUUUAAUUACUAAAAUAUACAUUAUUUAAAUAGUGAAGAUUAGAUGAUGCACUUAAAAUUUAAAGUUGCAGUAGCAUUGCAGCCUAGGAAUUCAAUAGCAACAAAACAAGCACAAAAGGCAGGUAGUAUCUUGCUAACUAAAUUUCAAGUUUAGAGAAUGAAAAAUGAAUUUGUAAAUAUCUCAAAAAAUGUAUAAAUGAAACUCUGCAGAAAAUUGGUUGUAUACUUCUUAGAAUCAGAAUCAUCUAUGCAUGAUUUUCAUGUGAUUUUUGAGGAUUUCAUAAAAUUUUUUUAUUUGUUCCAUUAUUUCCUUUUUAAUUCCUAUUUUCUUUGUGUGUUUUGUGUGUUCCAAUAAGCAAAUCAGUUUUUCUGAUGUCAGAUAACUAUUUGAAUAAACGAAGAAAUCCAUGAAAAUGAAAGGUGUAUGCAUGGUUGAAUCCUGAUAUAAAAGCUAUAUAAGGUUAUAUAUAUAUAUCUCUGAUUUUCAGAUAAAAUUAGUAUCAUAAAAUUUUUUAAAAAUUUUAUUAUUGUGAUUUACAAUGUUCUGUCAAUUUCUGAUAUACAACAAAAUGAGCCUGUCAAAAAAUUUAAAAUUAUUUCCUGUUUAGUGUGUGUGCAGAUGUACUUUUGCUGCUUAUAGUGAUUUCCAUGUAUUUAUUUUGUUUUUACCUUUUUCUUUUGGGGAGUAUGAAAUAUGAAAAAAUGCAAUAUUUUUGUUUCUAAAUUUGAUGAGUUUUCAGUUUUUUAUGUGGAAAACAAAAGAAGGAUAGCAGGGAGGAAGGGAGUAUAGAAAAGAGGGAGGGAGGAAGAAAGGAAGGAAAAAAGGGAAGAAAGCAGGAAGGAAGAGAGAGACAGAGACACAGAAAGAGAGGAAUUAGGGUGGGAGGAAGGAAGCAAGAAAAGAAGGGAAUGCCUGCUUUCCCUUCUGGGAAAGGGGAAGCCCAGCUAGGAGUUAGCAGUGGGCCAGUCUGCCCACAACAGCAUUGCUCACAGAGCCCCAACGAGCCAUCCCAUCCCCCAUCUCACACUUUCCAGAAGUAGCAGUGGUGGUCCCAAGCUGCCCACAGAAGCCUCAGCCACAGAGCUAGGGCAGGCUAACCUAUCUCCAGCCUCAAACCUCCUAGCAGCAAGCUGCUGUGCUCCCAGCAGUGUUGUCAGCAAAUCACAGAGGUCAGACAGAUCACAUAUGCUAAACUGAAACAGGUCAACUGCCUGCUAGAAGUGAACAUAUAGAUAGAAAACAAAGCAAAUCUUCUAAUGUAUAUUUAAAUGGCCAGGAUAUUGGAGUUCCUGUCGUGGCUCAGUGGAAAUGAAUCCAACUAGUAUCCAUGAGGAUGCAGGUUCUAUCUCUGGCCUCAGUCAGUGGUCUGGGGAUCUGGUGUUGCUGAGAGCAUCUGUGGUGAGAUUGCAGAUGUGGCUUGGAUCCCAAGUUGCUGUGGCUGUGGCUGUGGCUGGCAGCUGUAGCUCUGAUUUGAACCCUAGCCUUGGAACCUCCAUAUACUGCAGGUUUGGCCCUAAAAAGCAAAAAAAAAAAAAAAAAAAAAAAAAAGCCAGGAUACCAAAAAAAAAAAAAA
rnacentral:lncRNA from 1 species